ACAUCAAGCUUGGUUCAACAUAUAUCAUCAUUAAAUAUUAACAUAAGAUCAUGUACAAAAAGGGAUUAACCAUAUAUUAGGGCCAAGCACAAUACUAAUCCUCAUUACAUCACUGGACAAUACCUUACAUAACAUUACAUUAUUUUACAUAUCAUGUCCACUACUAAUCUAUUAUAUAGACAUAGUUUUUACCCUUGAUGACUUCUCGGUCUAUCCUGAACCUGCAAACCUGGGGGUUAGAGGAAAAGGGUGAGCUACAAGAGCCCAGUGAGCAGAACAACAAAACUGUUUAUAAACACAUGCCAUCAUGAAAUGCAUCACAUCACAAACAAUUCACAUCACGGAUGGAUUUGUCACCAAUAACCCUCUACAUAAUCCAAUUGUGCCAGGGGCAUAGUGCAGACCACACCUGGUCUUUCUCUUACAUAUACAUAUCAUAACAUUAUCCAACCAUGCCGAGGGCGUAGUGCAGGCCACACCCGGACUUUCUCUUACAUAGUGCUAGGGGCGUAGUGCAGGCCACACCUGGUCUUCCAUAUCAUAAUAUAGCAUAUCAUAUCGAGGGCUAAUGGAUCAUCCAAUAUCCAUCCACAUCAACAGCAAAUUAUGCAAUGCAUCAUAUUCGUGAUUUCUAAUGCAACAACCUAUAAACAUGGCAAUCGUGAUGCAUGAAAAUGCUUAGGAGUUUAAUUACUUUCAAAAUAGAAAGUAGUUCUAUUCUACUCACCUCUGGCUGACUCUAAACUAACUCUGAAGCAGCUAACACUGCUGGCCUCCUUGGUUCCUCGGGUCUGAUCCUACACAGGUGGACUCAAAUGAGGGACCAAACAUACUCUAUAAAGACUCAAAAAAAACUCCCCAAAAACCCCCUAAAACAUCACCAAAACAUGCAUAGAAAACAUGCAAAAGGAGGCUGAACAAGGCACUUUUGGCGGCAGGUUCGGUGGCCAAAAGUCCCUCCAGAGCCGAAAGUCAGGCACUUUCGGGAGCAGGGUUCAGCGGCCGAAACUCCUUCCAGAGCCGAAAGUCACCCACUUUUGGGGUCAAGUUCGGCGGCCGAAACCUCCCUCCAGAGCCGAAAGUCCAACUUUCGGGGGCGAGGUUUGGCGGCCUAAACUGCCUUCCCUGGCAGGUUUGGCGGCUGAACCUUGCUUCGGCGGCCGAACCUGGAUCUUUCUGAGUGGCAAAAUCCGAUUCUGCCAUCCCACACUCAGCCAUCCCAACUUUUCAACAUGCAUUCAACUAUUCUAAAACAUGCAUAAACACUUAUUCAAGCAUAUAGGGGCAUAAAACUAGCCUAUACCCCAACAAACAUCACAUUAAGCAUACAUUUAACAUUUAACUAACAUAAACCCUAACAUUUUACCCCUAGCCUAAACAUGCAUCAAAACCCUUAACCCCUUCUUAAAACUUACUUAAAACAUGAAAGAAGAGAAGGAUCUACACUUACCUCUUGAAGCUCGAGAGGAGGGUGAUCCAAACUUGGAGAUUGGGAGAGAUCGAGCUCCGGGAGUCUCCAAGCUUCAAAAACUUGAUCUUAGCUUAAAAAUCUUCAAGACAAAGUAAAAACUCAUCAAAAACCUGAAGGGAUUGAAGAAAAACAACAAAUCGACCAUGGAAGGGUGAAAUCUCACCUAUGCUCGAAAAUAGAGAGAGAAAACUCGCCCAUUUUCGGACAAGGGGCCUUUUAUAGGUGGCUGGCCAGACCACCUUCGGGGGCCAAAGGUGCCUCCGCAAGAGGCCAAUGUUCGGCGGCCGAACCUGGCUUUUUCCUUCCUUGGUCUUUUCUUUCAAAACUCAAUUUCUUUCUUUAUUAAAACUAUAAAAACACAUAAAAACACUUUAGAAAACCAUAUUUUACCCUUCUAGAGGGUUUCGACAUCCGAGAUUCCGCCGAAAAGUGGGAAUUCCGAUGCUGGAGUCUAGUCGGGUAUUACAUUCUUGCAGAAAGAAAAAUAAGCUACUUGGAAACCGUGCAGCAGAGGAGGAAUGAAUCCCUGAGAGAGUAUGUGGCCAAAUUCAACUCUGAAGCUUUGCUAAUACUCGAGCUAGAUGAGGGAAGGGCAGUAGAAGCCAUGCAGAAAGGCACAAGCUCCACGGAGUUCUUUGAGUCGCUAUGCAGAAAGCCCCUUACUACCUUGUCAGAGAUAAUAAAAAGAGCAAAGAAAUAUAUAAGGCAGGAUGAUGCCUUGACAACUAGCUGAUUUUCCAGGGAUGAUAGAGAAAGAGGCAGAGUUGGGGAGGACAAGAGACAAGACAGGUCAUAGAGGAGACAGGACCAAGGACCGGAGGCAUUGAACAAACACAAAUGGGAAAGAAAGGAACAGAGACCUUAUCAACCUUGGCUCCCCACUGAGGUCACUCCCCUGAAUGUGUCUAGAGCCGAAGUGCUCGUAGCAGUCCAGGACAAAGAUUUUGUGCAAUGGUCCAAGCCCAUGAAAGCAGAGGUAAGCCGAAGGGACUCGGAUAAAUACUGCCAAACCACAGAACACACGGCCAUGACACAAACAACUAUUAUUAGUUAAUAAACGAGAUAGAAAGGUUGAUUAAGAGAGGCCAUCUUCAAAAUUUUAUAAAGAAGCCAGAGGGCCAGAGAGCCAGAGGCAACAAGAAGGUGCAGCUGGAGAAAUGCCUAGGAGAUAGAUCGUAGCACCAAUAAACGACGACUCCAGCGGAACAAUCAACAUGAUUGUCGGGAGGACUGGAGGCUAUAUGAGUAGGAAAGGGAAGAAGAGAGGUAAAAAUGAAAAUGAAAGCGGCGCGAAAGUGAUGCAAGUCACUGAGCACUCCCCAAUAGCCAUCUCCUUUUCCUCAAAGGAUGCACAGGGGGUGCAGAUGCCCCACAAUGAUGCCUUGGUCAUCAAAGUAGUCAUCCAUAACUUCAGGGUUCAUAAGGUGCUCGUAGACGACGGCAACAAAGUGAAUCUAUAACCCUACCGGGUCUUCCAACAGAUGAAAAUACUCGAAGAGCAGCUCGUCAGGGACCAAGCUCGAGUCAAAGGGAUAGGGAGAACCCCAGUAGUGGUAGAAGGUAAUGUGAAAGUAGCCCUCACUCUAGGAGAGCUACCCUUGUCACGGACUCACUACAUAGUUUUCCUGGUGGUGAAGUUACCUCUGAGUUACAAUGCCAUCUUGGAAAGACUAAUACUGUAUGAUUUUGAAGCAGUGACUAGCAUUCAAUAUCUAACCAUUAAGUUCCCAAUAGAGGCAAGGGUCGAAAUCGUCUAGGGAAGGCAGGAGGAGUCCAGAGCUGUAUACCUGGCCACGGUAGAGGAACAAUGCACCCCAACAGAGGAGAUAAACCCUGAAAUUAUGAAGGUCAGAGAUGAAAGGAAGGAGGCCAUGACNNNNNNNNNNNNNNNNNNNNNNNNNNNNNNNNNNNNNNNNNNNNNNNNNNNNNNNNNNNNNNNNNNNNNNNNNNNNNNNNNNNNNNNNNNNNNNNNNNNNNNNNNNNNNNNNNNNNNNNNNNNNNNNNNNNNNNNNNNNNNNNNNNNNNNNNNNNNNNNNNNNNNNNNNNNNNNNNNNNNNNNNNNNNNNNNNNNNNNNNNNNNNNNNNNNNNNNNNNNNNNNNNNNNNNNNNNNNNNNNNNNNNNNNNNNNNNNNNNNNNNNNNNNNNNNNNNNNNNNNNNNNNNNNNNNNNNNNNNNNNNNNNNNNNNNNNNNNNNNNNNNNNNNNNNNNNNNNNNNNNNNNNNNNNNNNNNNNNNNNNNNNNNNNNNNNNNNNNNNNNNNNNNNNNNNNNNNNNNNNNNNNNNNNNNNNNNNNNNNNNNNNNNNNNNNNNNNNNNNNNNNNNNNNNNNNNNNNNNNNNNNNNNNNNNNNNNNNNNNNNNNNNNNNNNNNNNNNNNNNNNNNNNNNNNNNNNNNNNNNNNNNNNNNNNNNNNNNNNNNNNNNNNNNNNNNNNNNNNNNNNNNNNNNNNNNNNNNNNNNNNNNNNNNNNNNNNNNNNNNNNNNNNNNNNNNNNNNNNNNNNNNNNNNNNNNNNNNNNNNNNNNNNNNNNNNNNNNNNNNNNNNNNNNNNNNNNNNNNNNNNNNNNNNNNNNNNNNNNNNNNNNNNNNNNNNNNNNNNNNNNNNNNNNNNNNNNNNNNNNNNNNNNNNNNNNNNNNNNNNNNNNNNNNNNNNNNNNNNNNNNNNNNNNNNNNNNNNNNNNNNNNNNNNNNNCUUUCUGACUCUUUCCUUAUUUGGCACUUUCCAUAUAUGAAGACUUUCCAUAUAUGAAGACUUUCCUUAUUUGGAACUUUCCAUAUAUGAAAACUUUCCUUUUCUGGAACUUUCCAUAUUUGGCACUUUUUGGCAGUUUUAAGAGCAUUUUCUCCAGAUUGUCUCUUUACACCUAAUAUCUGCAAAACAUGGUUAAAACCGCAAAAUUAGGUAGAAAAGGUGUAAAUAAACAUCAAGAUUAUCAUGAUAAAGUGGGCUAAAUUAUGCUCUGUCACUAAGCCAAUGAAACAGAAGAAGAGAAUCUUUGGGAAGGAGGAGCAAUAGGCCACAAGGGACAACGUGGAGAAAUUAGAAAAGGCUGGGUUUAUUAGGGGAAGUAAUGUGUCCAUAGUGGUUAGCUAACCCUGUGUUAGUAAAAAUGGCCAACGGGAAGUAUAGGAUAUGUACAGACUUCACCAACCUAAACCAGGUCUGUCCAAAAGAUUGUUAUCUCCUCAUAGAUAUUAAUAAAAUGGUCGAUUCUACUGCUGGUUUUGAGUACUUAUCGUCUGUAGAUACAAUAUCGGGAUAUCACCAAAUCCCCAUGGAUAAGUCAGAUGAAGAGAAGACCUCCAUUAUAACUGAAGAUGAGACAUAUUGCUAUAAGGCUAUGCCUUGUGGGUUGAAAAAUGCCGGGGCAACAUACUAGCAACUGAUGAAUAAAAUCUUCAAAGACCAGAUAGGGAGAAAUGUAAAGGUGUGUGUCGAUGACAUGGUAGUUAAAAGCCAAACCUUCUACCAACAUCUGACUGAUCUAGAAGAAGUCUUUCGAGUACUGUAGCGGUACAGAAUGAGGUUGAAUCCUGCGAAAUGUGCUUUUUUCAUCAUAGGAGGAAAAUUUUUAGGCUAUAUAGUCAGUGUGAAAGGUAUAGAGCCAAACCUAGAAAAGGAAGAAGUCAUAUUGAACAUGCCUGAAUCGACCUGUGUGAGGGAUAUACAGAGGCUAACAGGGAGAGUAGUAGCACUUAAUAGAUUCAUGUCCAGAUCUGUAAAGAGAUGUCUACCCUUCUUCAAGAAUUUAAGGAAAGUCCCAAAUUUUGAAUGGUCGGAGGAUUGCCGAGAGACUUUCAAGAGCCUUAAGAAAUAUUUUAACUCCCCACAUGUGCUUAGCAGUCCUUUGGCAUGGGAAGAGCUGUUGAUCUACUUAUCUGCAUCAGAAUAGGCGGUAAGUGCCAUACUGAUAAGGGAAGAGGCAGGGAUUCAGAAGUCGGUCUCUAUGUCAGCAAAGUACUUAAGGACGCCAAGAUCAUGUAUAUGAACAUAGAAAAUUUGGCAUUUUCUCUAUUACUAGCCGUAAGGAAAUUCAGAAUGUAUCUAGAGGAUCGCCAAGGAGUGGUAAUGAUUGAUCAUCCUUUGAAAAAGAUCAUGCACAAGCUUGGAACUUUAGGGAGGAUGCAAGCAUGGUCAAUAGAAAUCAGCCCGUAUUGUCUCAUUUAUCGACCUCAGACAACAAUUAAAGCACAUACCUUAGCCGACUUCAUAGCUGAAUGCUCCUUCAGCACAAUCGAGAAAGAACAGAGUAAUGCGCUAUCGACCUCAGAGAAAGAGGUAGGAAGCAAACCCUAGUAUAUAGGAUCUAUUUGUGGAUGGGGCAUCAAGUUCUACAAGUAGUGGGGUAGGAAUCCUUCUGAAAGGGCCUAAUGAAUUCAAAGUAUAUUAUACCUUAGGCUUUGGGUUACCAGCAUCCAAUAACAUGGUUAAGUAUGAAGCUCUUCUAAACGAAAUACAAAUAGCCUUGGAAGUAGGGGCAACUGACCUCAGAAUAAAUAGCGAUUCACAACUGAUAGUGAACCAAAUAAUAGGGGUAUACCAGGCAAAGGACCAGUCAUGCAAGAGUACUUAGCUAAAGUACGAGUCCUAGAAGCCGAGCUCGGUGAGCAAGGAAUUAUAGUUGAAUACCGAAGAAUACCUGGAGAGAAAAAUAAAGAAGCAGAUCUACUUAGUUAACUGUCUAUAGAAGAGUUAGAGCAACUCUUAGACAAAGUGUAUGUGCAGCAAAUUGAUGUUCCCACUUUUUGAAAAGCCAGCCUCUAUUAUGCAAGUCAAUGAAGAACGAAGCUGGAUGACCCCAUACCUUGAAUACCUUAAGGCUGCAAAAUUACCAGAAAACAAAGCAAAAGCUCAAAAAAUCACUGCUAAUUACCAGGCGAUAAGAGGGACUCUAUAUAGGAGAGGAAAGUCCAGCCUAUGGUUAAGGUGUGUAGGGCCGAAGGAGGCAUCCAAGAUAAUCCAAGAGAUACACUAGUGGGUCUGUAGAGUUCAUGAAGGAGCAACCACAUUGGCAAACAAGAUCUUUCGACAGGGGUAUUACUGGCCUACAGCGAAAAAAAAAGCCAGAGAAUUUGUGAAGAAAUGUGAUAUCUAUCAAAGGUUUGCUAAUGCCACCAAUAGUCUAAAUACACCACAGUUAAGUAUAUCAAGCCCGUGGCCGUUCUCACAGUGGGGGGACAGAAAUUUUGGAACCAUUCCCUAAUACUGUGGGACAGAAGAGGUUUGUGAUCGUGACUAUAGAAUACUUCUCCAAGUAGCCCGAGGCAGAGGCUGUGCUUACCAUUACGACCCAAAAAGUGAUAGAAUUUGUAUAGGGCAACAUACCUGCCAGUUUGGGAUACCCAGGACACUCAUAUCAGAUAACGGAAAGCAAUUUGACUGCAACUCUUUCCAAAAUUUCACAAGAAACAUGGAUAUAUAUGGUAUCAAUUUUCCUCAGUAGCUCAUCCACAGAUGAAUUACCAAACUGAUGUGAUGAAUCGACCUGUCCUCCAAGGGCUUAAAAACGAUUAGACGGUGCUAAAAAGAAUUGGGCAGCUGAAUUGCAUAGCAUCUUGUGGGUAUUAUGUAAUAGACCUUGGACAUCAACAGGGAAAACCUCGUUCACACUAGCAUUUGGGACAAAAGCUAUAGUUCCCAUAGAGCUUGUAAUGAUCUGGAAACCAGACCGCUACCGGCGCUAGGAUCCAGAUCGACUUAAGGUCGCCGGGACCCGUAGCAAGCCUACUAUACAUCAUGUACACCUGAUAAAAUCUCAUACAUAAUCAUACAUUUUCAUAAAAACUUUAAACUUUUCAUAUACCAAGCUUGACCUGUGCAUGCACUAAAACUGUAUACAUAAAACCCCUUACUGGAGCCCUCAUCAAAUGCUCCAGUUGGGUCAACAUCUCAUAUGUCAAGCCUGAUUCAACAUAUAUCAUCAUUAAAACAUUUCAUAAAGAUCAUGUACCAAAAGGGAUUAACCAUACAUUAGGGCCAAGCACAAUACUAAUCCUCAUUACAUUACUGAACAAUACCUUAUAUUACAUUACAAGUCCACUACUAAUCUAUUACAUAGACUAUACCAUAACCUUGCUGACUUUCCCAUAGCUACCUGAGCUCCUGCAAACCUGGGGGUUAGGGGAAAGGGGUGAGCUACAAAAGCCUAGUGAGCAGAAUAGUAAAAACAAUUUAAUAAACAUAUGCUUUCAUGGAAUGCAUCACAACACAAACAAUUUACAUCACGGAUGGACUGACCCAAAAAUCCCUCUACUCUGUGUCCGGCCCUAGAUGGAGCUCCUCAGGACUUCUAUUACAUAACAUAAGCUCUGUGCCAGGGGCGUAGUGCAGGCCACACCUGGUCUUUCCUGUACUCUGUGCCAGGGGCGUAGAAUGGCAGCCCUGGUCUUUCAUUACAUAACAUAAUAUCUAGAGGGCUAAUGGGUCGUCCUAUUAUCCAUCCACAUCAACAACCAAUUAUACAAUGCGGCAUAUUCGUGAAAUCUAAUGCAUCCAACCUAUUUUAUAUACAUGAUGCAUGAACAUGCUUAAAACAUUUGAUUUCUUGAAAUAAAAGAUUAGUUUAGUUCUACUCACCUCUGGCUGACUCUGAACUAACUCUGAAGCAGCUAUCUCACUGUUGGUCACCUCGGUUCCUCAGGUUUGAUCCUACACAGGUGGACUCAAAUGAGGGACCAAACAUACUCUAACAUGACUCUAAUAUCUCCCCAAAAAACCCCCUAAAACAUCAUAAACAUGCAUGGAAAAACAGGCAAAGGAAGACUGGGCAGGGGACUUUCGGCGGCAGGUUCGGCGACCAAAGGUCCCCACAGAGCCGAAAGUCAAGUACUUUCGGGGGCAGGGUUCAGUGGCCGAAGGUCCUUCCAGAGCCGAAAUUCACAACCUUCGGGGGCAGGUUCGGCGGCCGAAACUCCCCUCCAGAGCUGAAAGUACAAACUUUCGGGGGCGAGUUUAGGCGGCCAAAAUUGCCUCCCCUGGUAGGUUCGGCGGCUGAACCUUGCUUCGGCGGCCGAACCUGGAUCCUCCUGGGUGGCAGAACCCGAUUCUGCCAUCCCACAUUCAGCCAUCCCAACUUCCCAACAUGCAUUCAACUAGUCUAAAACAUGCAUAAACACUUAUUCAAGCAUAUAGGGGCAUAAAACUAGCCUAAACCCCAACAAACAUCAACAUAGCAUCACAUAAACAUACAUUUACCAUUUAACUAACAUAAACCCUAACAUUUUACAACUAGCCUAAAAAUGCAUCAAAACCCCUUAACCCUUCAUAAAACUUACUUAAAAACAUAAGAGAAGAUGAGGAUCGACACUUAUCUCUUAAAGAUCGAGAGGAGAUGCGAUCCCAAACUUAGAGAUAUGGAGGAACGAGCUCCGGGGGUCUCCAAGCUUCAAAACUUUGAUCUUAGCUUAAAAUCUUCAAAACAUGGUAAAAACUCAUAAAAAUCUUGAAGGAUUUGAGGAGAAAACACGAGAUCAUCAAGGGGGUGGCGGAGACUCACCUUGUCCGGAAAUAGAGCGAGAAAACUCACCCAUUUUCGGAUAGGGAACCUUUUAUAGGUGGCUGGCCAGACCACCUUUGGAGGCCAAAAGUGCCUCCGUAACUCCACCAUGUUCGGCGGCCGAAUCUGGGUUUCUCCUCCAAAAUAUUUUCUUUCAAAACUCAAUUUUCUUUCUUCAUUAAAACCAUAAAACAUAUCAAAACAUUUUAGAAAACCUUUAUUUUACCCUUCUAGAAGGCUCCGACAUCCGAGAAAUUCCAGAUUCCAAUGGAGAUUCCGCCGAAAGGUAGGAAUUCCGAUGCCGGGGUCUAGCUGGGUAUUACAGAGCUGCAGAUCCCCACUCACUAGGUUCAAUUCAAUGAUGAAAACAUCAGUGGUGAGAAAUUGAAGAGCAACUUGGAUACCCUAAAGAAAAUCAGGGAUGAAGCACAAGUGUGAACAACUGCUUAUCAGCAAAAAAGCAGCUUGGUACUACAACCAGAAAGUCUGGGAGAGAAACUUGAAGGUUAGGGACUUAGCCCUGAGGAUACUAGAAGCCACAGGAAAAGUGGUUGAUGUAGGAAAGCUAACACCAACCUAGGAAGGACCGUUUAGAGUCGCCAAAGUCAUCAGAUCGGGAGUAUAUAGAAUCGAAGAUUUGCAGGAGAAUCCAGAACCUCACGCCUGCAACAUCCAGUAUUUGAAGAGGUAGUUUCCAUAAGAUUUACAAUGUAACUAUUAUAGUGAGGAUAUGAAUAAAAAACUUCUUUUCUAUUCUCAAAAUACUCUUGAAAAGCGAUGAAGACCUCAAUGAGGUAAGUGACCAAUCUCAAAAAUAAGACCGCCGGUACUACAAAAUCGGUUGAGGAGAUGAAGACCUCAAUAAGAUAAGUGACUGGUCUCGAAAAUAAGACUGUCCACACCACAAAACUGAUUGAGGAGAUGAAUACCUCAAUGAGGUAGGUGACGGGUCUUGAAAAUAAGCUAGCCAGCACCACAAAGUUGGCCAGCACCAUAAAACUAGUUGAGGAGAUGAAGAGCUCAAUGAGGUAGGUGACCGGUCUUAGAAAUAAUAUCGUCGGCACCAUAAAAUUGAUUGAAGAGAUGAAGACCUUAAUGAGGUAAGUGAUUGGUCUCGAAAAUAGGCUGCCAACACCACAAAACCAAUUGAGAAAAUGAAGACCUCAAUGAGGUGGGUGAUCAAUCUUGGAAAUAGAUUGUCGACACUACAAAAUCGAUUGAGGAAAUGAAGACCUCAAUGAGGUGGGUGACUGGUCUCGAAAACAGACUGCUAGCACCACAAAACCAAUUGAGAAAAUAAAGACCUCAAUGAGGUGGAUGACUAGUCUCGAAAACAAAUCGCCGGCACCACAAAAUUGAUUGAGGAGUUAAAGACCAUGCUAAAGGCCCAUACUAGCAAAAAUAUAAGCCAAAAGAAAAAAAACCCAGGGUGUCGACCUCAUAAAAUGACCUCGGCACCAAGGCCCAUACUAGCAAAAAUAUAGGCCAAAAGAAAUAAAGGCAGGGUGCCGACCUCACAAAAUGACCUCGGCACCAAGGCCCAUAUUAGCAAAAACAUAAGCCAAAAGAAAUAAACGCAUGGUGUUGACCUCACAAUAAGACCUUGGCACUCUCAAGGCAAAACCAAAAUAAAACUAAGGCCAGGAACUGACUCCUGAAAUGGACCUCGAUCCUGUGAAUAUCAAAUUGCAAAUAAGGAAAAAAUACAACUUUGGAACAAUAUAAACCAAGACAGAGCUGCAUGAAAACUAAAGGCAAUCUUAGGAAAUGCCAACCUCAAAAACUAACCUCUAGCACUAAAUUAGCUCAAAGAAAGAGCUCACAACCCGACCAUCUAAAGGCACUAGAGGAGUAGAAGGCAUAAAAUCUAACGCGUUCAAUAAACAGAAUCCAAAACGCAAUAAGUUAUAUGUUUUUACUGGCAAAACAUCAAACGAGUGGCUAGCUCGGCAUUGCUCACAAACAAUAUAUGAAAAAAUAAUUUAAGUAUGGAAAUACAAACAAAAUCUAAAUAGACGGAAAAAUAAAAGCAAGCAACUGGAAAAUAACAAAAAGGUUCAGAAUUUUUAUUAAUCACUCUUUCCCUACACCAUUCGAAUGGGUUACAAAAGCAGCAAGGGAAGGGAGAGCAAAACUAACUAGGUCAUUUACAAGAUUGCCCUCCUGCAGUCCAAGGGGCAAGGAAGGGGGAUUCUUGAGCAGGGGAUUAUUGUCCUCUCUGUAGCAAACCUCCUCACAGUCGAAAUCGAGUUCGAGGGCUCAUAGGUCAGCCAAUGGAGUGGAGGGGGCAUCACAAGCAGCUUUGAGGCCCUGGUUAAAGCCUAAAGCGAACAUGCAAAAAGCCUCCUUAUAUAUUCUUUCCUUUAACUCUGCCAAGCCCUUAUACUCCUCCAACCGUGCUUCGCAAGCCUAUUGAAUUUUCUCCUUUAGCUCUGAGAGUCCUUGAACUCCUGCAGCCGCACUUCACAGGCCCACUGAACUCUGUCCUCUACAGCCCGAACAUCCCUUAAUAAGGAGGCACACCUCUCCUUUAUGGCAGAAACCUCUUGGCAGAGUUCCCGCUACUGAAGUCAAGACUCCUCCGCUGCUGAGGUCAUGCCCUUCAAGUCCUUGAUGUGUUUGUUAAGCUCAUGCUAGAGGACAGUAGCACAAGUCAAGGCCUCAUCGCGCUAUGCCCAAGCCUCAUCGCGUUGACGAUGAAUCUCCUCCAAAGCAGAUAACUGCAUGAGGGCUUCAUCUCGCUAAGACUCCACCGCAGAAGCCUGUUGGGAAGCUUUGGAAACCUCCUCCCUAUCUCCCCCAACUACUUGGUCAGGUCUUUGAUUUGCCUCCGGAACUCAAUAAUGUGCCCACGAGCCUCAUUAGUGGCAACCAGAUUCUCGUCCCGACAUGCCUCAGCAAUGCGCUCGUCCAUCAAGCUCUGGAGAGACCAAUUUCGAGCAUUGAUCUCCAUGAAUAUGCCAAAGGACUAUCAUACAAAAGAAAAAGUAAAGUUUGAAAAGCUAGAAACUCAAAAACGCUUUGAAAAAAGUCAAACAACUUACCAUGAGGAACAUCUCUCUUAAACUGUCCCCGAGAUCCUCUAGGGAACGCGAGCUAAAAGCCACCUGCUGCUUAGUGGCCCAAGUCAGAUGACUAAUGAGCGCCAUAAAACAAGGGUCAAAAGCAUCCAGGACCCCUCAAACAUCUUACUACUCAGCAUCUCAGCCACGAGAGCUGGCUUUGACUCUAUGGUCACCUCAAUCACAUUUAACAACUCAUUGUCUAGGUUAGACAACAAGUACAUUACCACCAUUUUCCCCUCAUCAAUGGGAAGGGAAAGGGCUGCCUCUAUAGGUUCUGAAGUCUGGGCACAUUUAGCAGCCCUGCCUUUGAUUGUGAUAGCACUCACAGCUUGAAUGGGUGGGACAUCCAAGGGAGCAGUUCUGAUGCCCUCUUUCUAGCUACUCUCAAUCAACUCGCUAAUCGCGAUAGGCUCUUUAGGAACUUCCUUUGGAGCGGAAGGAGCCUUGGAAGAAGCCGGCGCUUUAGGAGAGACCGACGUCUUAGAAGUCGUUGAACGAGAGCCUCUGACACGGGCACUAAAGCCAGAGAAGGUGCAGGGGUAGGAGCAGAAUGACAAGCUGAAGAUGCGAGAUCUGUGGCAUGAAAAACAUCUUUGGUCACAUCAGCUAUAGACUUGUUGGCCUCAAAGGCGGCCAGAGUCUCCUUCGCUCUCCUAGUAUAGAGUGAAGUCCUUGAAAAGCUUGAUGGAACCUAUUGGCAUGGCAGAAGCUGAAAAGGAAAUAUCAGUCCAGUCAGAGCUCGAAACAACAAAAGAAAAAUAUAAAAAGAAAGAAAACUAAAAAAAAUACCAGCUUUCCGACAGUCCUGCAGGUUAGACAUAAAUAUGCACUUCUCGGCGUCAUAUUUAUUCUUUACAUAGGUCAGUUGGAGAAAGCAAAUUCGGUCUACUAGACUUAACCUAGGAAGUUAUUACAGUCCUAAGGAAUUUCUCUCCAAGAGAGGUUGAUAUCCCAGUUAACCCUUGAGCUUUCCUUUCCUUUAGCUCGACAACCACAAAAUUAUCUACCCAACCUUUAAUCAAGUCCUUGUACCUUGUGAAUAUAAAUAACCUAGCCCGAGGACAAAAAUAGCAAAAUCCAUGGGUAGACCUAACUAGGUGGAAGAAAGUACAAACAACUCGAUAGAAAGGACAAAACUCUAACACAGACAGAUGGACUCAAAAUAGCACAUGAAUAGAAUAGAGUUAGGGGACAACAUUCGUGGAAUCACCCUAAAAUGACGGAAAACCUCGAUAAAGAAAAGGGUAAAAGGAAAGGUCAGCCUAAAGUCACGCUGUUUGACGAAAAAAACCAAGUUACCCCCUGCUGAGUGUCUAUCAGGUUCGUCGGCAGUGGGUAAGGGAGAACAAUUCAUUCAUUGGGCAAAGGAGCUCCAAUUUUAAAAAUAAUGGUGUUAGAAUAGUCACGGAAAAAAUAGUGUCAGAAGAAGGAAGGAGUAACAGAGGACACCAGACUCACUACAUUGGGAAUUCUAAUAGAAGCCAUGAGAGGAGUAAGACGUACCUCGAAUUAAAAAAUCAUGGAUUAUAGAGAAAAAAAAGAGCAAGAUAGCAGAAGCAGCGCAAGAGGCAGAGUAACGAGUGAAAGCAAGAGCAUAAGUUUGAAAUAGAUAAAGGUAAAGAAGAGACAUUUUGACAGAAUUCUUCUAGAGUCGUGCGAUAAUAAUUGAAAUCUCAAAAUUUACCCGCUCAUAAAUCAUGAGAUAAUUAAUAAGCAGGUAAAUGGGCAUUUGAUAACGACCGGGCCCUGGACGCUCAAGCUGUGGCUAAGCCCGGACUAGAAAGGCUGGGCCUUAGUUUUAUUAGGGUCCAAUACAUGGGCCUACUCCUUGUACAAGUCCUGGACUUGUCCUGACGAGUCGGCCAAGGCACGGACCUACAUGUGGGGGACCUAGCCUCAGAUAUCUGUUAGCCCCAUGGGGCAACAAACUCCGUGAUACUCAGAAUCGUGUCCAAAUAGUACCGGAUGGAAUUAAAUGGCCGUCUGACGAUAGGAAAGGAUGCAGUAUAUCUAUAUGUACGGUCAAUAUGACUAUGAUAGGAUUAUAUGAACGCAGAACAGCGGUUACACAUCGAUAGAAGAAAAAAAAGAAUAAAAAAAUAAAUUAUGAAAUAAUUAAUAAGCAGGUAAAGGGGCAGUUGAUAACGAUCGGGCCCUGGACGCUCAAGCCGUGGCUAAGCCCGAGCUAGAAAGACUGGGCCUUUGUUUUAUUAGGGUCCAAUACAUGGGCCUACUACUUGUACAAGUCAUGGACUUGUCCUGGCAAGUCGGCCAAGGCACGGACCUACAUGUGGGGGACCUGGCUUCAGAUAUCUGUUAGCCUCAUGGGGCAACAAACUCCGUGAUAUUCAGAAUCGUGUCCAAGUAGUACCGAAUGAAAUUAAAUGGCCGUCUGACGAUAGGAAAGAAUGCAGUAUAUCUAUAUGUACGGCUAAUAUGACUAUGAUAGGAUUAUAUGAACGCAGGACAACGGUUACACAUCGAUAGAGAAAAAAAAUAAAAAAAAAUAAAAGAAGAGAGACAAACCAAAUUUACUAAAAUAUAUUUUCAAUCUAAUCUCUUACGACGAUUAAUAUUUAUAAUAGAUAUAUAUGUCUCAACUUUUUAAGAAUAUUUGGCGAUCAAACACAAUAUGCAAUGAAAGAUUACAUACAAGUAAGAGGUGUGAUGUAGAUAUGUAGAGGAAGUGUAAAGUCACAAGAUAUAAUUUUAAAAAUAAAUAAAUAAAUAAAUAAUAUAUAUAUAUAUGACAGAUACGAAAAAGUAAUUUUGCAUUUUUUAUUUUGCCCCACUUGCCCACAAAGAAGGCAGUUUUCAUCUCUAUCCCUCCCUGAAUAAUUUUUCUGAUGACAGUUGAGGAAAUUUGGUAAGAUAUGAUUGUGUGGCUUUAAUGUUUUGUUUUUGUUGUGAAAGGGGCGAGGCAAAUGUUUUUGGGUCCACUAGCUUUUUUUUUCUUCUAAAUUGUCUAAAAGAGAGAUUUGUCAAACCAUGGUCGGUGGAGAAAGUUAUUUCGAAUUUUGGGGAGAGGAAAAAAAUUUCAGAUUCUUUUUCACUUUCAGAUUGGAUGGUUGAAUUUGUAUCAGCCGUAGUAUCAAGCUAUUAAUAAAAAAAUAAUAAUUUGUUUCAACAGUGCUAUCACGCUAUUAAUAAAAAAAUAAUAAUUUUUUUUAUAUCUAUUAAAAAUAUUAAUAUAAAAAUUAUAUUAUAAAAUAUUAAUUUAAUAUAAAUUAAAUUAUAUAUUCAAAAUAAAAAUAAGUGGCUUUUAAAAAAAUAAAAUAAAAAUAAGUAAAAUUACAAUAUAUUUUUUAUAUUUUUAAAUUAAUAAUUAUAUUUUAAUUAUUACUAUAUGUAUUUUUUAUGAUAUUAAAAAAUUACCGUUAUUUAUUAAAAAAAUAUUAUAUAUAUUAUUUUAAUGUAAUUUAAAUUAUAGAUUUUGAUAUAAAAAUUAGUGAAAAUACAGUAUUUGUUUUUUUUAAUAAAUAUUAAUUAAUUAUUAUAAAAGGAGGGGAAUUAAUUGAAAAAAAAAAAGAGUAGGGAAGAAAAUUUAAAACCAAAGAAGGAAAUGAGAAAAUAAAAGAAUGAGAGAAAAUGAGAUUGAGGAAAAUAAUCAACUAAUAAACAAUUAUCUUGUAUUGAAUACUUGCACCUAUCCUUACUGAUUGACUAAGAAACAAAGAAAACUUUAUUUUACUUACUGUCGUUUUCUGCAGACAUGAAUUCUCUUCUGAACAUCAAGGAAUCAGUCAGACUAUUUUAGAGAUUAUAAAGAUGAUGCAGUAGUGAAGGAAGAUUAUUCACAAACACCAUAGGAAAGCUUUUCUCACUUGUUUCUGGUGAUUUUCUUCAAUCAGUUCUUGGGGAAACAUGAGUUCAGCUCUUUCAACAGCUUCGGCCACCAGAAGGUAAAAUGACAAGCUGGCUUCUAAACUCUUUCAAUUUCUACAACAAUGAAAAAAAAAUUCAAAUACCCUUUUGCAGGCUAGAGGGCAAAGUAGCACUAAUUACUGGUGGAGCCAGUGGCAUAGGCGAGAGCACAGCUAGGCUAUUUAUCAAACAUGGAGCCAAGGUACUCAUCGCAGACGUUCAAGAUGAUCUUGGCCACUCACUCUGCCAAGAAUUCGACUCCCAAGAAACUCUCUCUUACAUCUACUGCGAUGUCACUUGUGAUUCUGAUGUUCAAAACGCUGUGGAUACUGCAGUCUCCAGGUAUGGAAAGCUCGACAUAAUGUUCAGCAAUGCAG
rnacentral:lncRNA from 1 species